GUUGGAGGCGUUGGAGCUAGGAAAAGAAACAUGCUUAUCAAAACAAUGUUUAUGUUUUCAGAUAAGGGAUAAGGCGUUUCCAAUGUUUCCAUUUGAUUUGCUCAAAUAAAUGUGAAAUUGUAUAUUUAUUCAGAAGCUAGACGAAGUAAAAAUUACAUAACCCGGUACCAAAAUCAACGUGACAUUACAACUCACCUCGAAUAUGGAUCCCAAAUAUCAGAAAUAAACAACACCAGAGCAUCGAAAGCUCCAUUUCACAGCUGACACAUCGAUAAGCGGGUAAAAUUGAUAAUAUUUUCACAAUAAUGAAAGGCUAAAUAGAAAGAAAAACACCAACACUCGGCGCACAAAAUCGCGACACUCGACCGCCGAAAUUAUUUCACCGAAAACGACGUAAUCGUGUCGAACAAAUGAUCGGUAUACGAGGCGAAUAAUAACUCAUCUUUGAAAUGUUUCAUAAU